ensembl:lncRNA
GUGGAGGGGCGGCAGGGUAGCCUAGUGGUUAGAGUGGAGGGGUGGAGGGGCGGCAGGGUAGCCUAGUGGUUAGAGUGGAGGUGCGGCAGGGUAGCCUAGUGGUUAGAGUGGAGGGGGGGCAGGGUAGACUAGUGGUUAGAGUGGAGGGGCGGCAGGGGAGACUAGUCGUUAGAGUGGAGGGGCAGCAGGGUAGACUAGUGUUUAGAGUGGAGGGGUGGCAGGGUAGCCUGGUGGUUAGAGUGGUGGGCUGGCAGGGUAGACUAGUGGUUAGAGUGGAGGGGCGGCAGGGUAGCCUAGUGGUUAGAGUGUAGGGGCGGCAAGGUAGCCUAGUGGUUAGAGUGGAGGAGCGGCAGGGUCGCCUAGUGGUUAGAGUGGAGGGGCGGCCGGGUAGACUAGUGGUUAGAGGGGAGUGGAG